rnacentral:rRNA from 1 species
UACGGAGGGUGCAAGCGUUGUUCGGAAUCACUGGGCGUAAAGGGCGUGUAGGCGGCCCGCUAAGUCUGAUGUGAAAUCCCCUCGCUCAACGAGGGAACUGCGUCGGAAACUGGCGGACUCGAGUACCGGAGAGGAAGGUGGAAUUCCCGGUGUAGCGGUGAAAUGACGUAGAUAUCGGAGGAACACCAGUGGCGAAGGCGGC